AUUAUGCUCCCUUCGUUCCGAAUUACUUGUCACAUGUAUGGAUGUAUGUAGAUAUAUUUUAGUUGUAGAUACAUCCAUUUCUAAGACAAAUAAUUUGAAACGGAGGAAGUAGUAG
rnacentral:pre_miRNA from 1 species